GCUGGCCAGGCUGGUCUCGAACUCCUAACCUCGUGAUCCACCCACCUCAGCCUCCCAAAGUGCUGGGAUUACAGGCGUGAGCCACCACGCUGGUGUAUUCCCAUAUCUCUUUUAAUGUCUGUAGAAUCUAUAGUGGUGUCCACUCUUUCAUUCCUGAUAUUGCUAAUUUUUAUGUUUCCUCUUUUUAUCUUGAAAUAACUAUAGAGUUUUGUCAGUUUUAUUGAUGAUAACCCAGUUUUUUGUUUCAUUAACUUUCACUUCUAUUUGUCUGUAGUCUCUUAAUAUUGCACUUUUGUCUUUAUUUUCCUACUUACUUUGGGUUUAAUUUGUUCUUAGUUUUAGCUUCUUAAAAUAGAAGUUUAGAUCUUCUAAUAUAAGCAUCUUCCCAUGAAUUUGAAUAUGUUGUGGCUUCAUUUUCAUUCAGUUCAGGUUAUUUUAAGCCAUUUUUAGUUAUUCUUUAAUCCAUGGAUUUUUACAUUUCUGAACAUAUAAGGGAUUUUUCUAAUAUCUUUCUGUCAAAUUCUGUUGUGAUCAGAGAACAAUUCUGUAUGAUUUUAAUGCUUUUUAAAGUUAGUAAGAUUUGCUUUGGUCUGACAUAUAGCCUAUCUUGGUACUUGUUGCAUUUGAUUCUUUUUUUAUGUUUCCCAUUUUCUCCUCAUUUUGCCCAUGUUUUCCUUUAAGGCCUUGGGAAUUUUUGUAGUAUUUAUAAUAGUUUGUUUAAUUUCUUUGUCUGCUAUUCCGUAAGUUCUGUCAUUUCUGAGUCUAUUUCUGUUGACUAAUUUUUCUCCUGUUUAUGGGUCAUAUUCUGUAUGUCUGCAUGUCUAAUAAUGUCUUACUGGAUGCCAAACAUUGUGACUAUUACAUUGUCAACUGCUGGAUUUUGUUCUGUUCCUUUAAAGAGAAUUGCAUUUUGUUCUGACAGGGAGUAAAGUUACUUGUGGGUCAGUUUUAUACCUCCAAGGCUUAUUUUUAGUUUGUCUCUUUUGUUGCUUUGCUUCAAGGCUAGUUUAGCCCUGCUAAGACAUUACUCUUUUAUAGUCUCUUCUUUUCGGCUAUUAAGGAGUUUGAAAUUUUUCCUGCCCUCUGUGAGCUCUGGAAUCAUUCAUCUUACAACUCCUUGGUGAUCUUUUCUCAGAAGCUGUCCUUUGCCUGACUUCUUGCAGUUCCACACGUAUAGCUUAAUAUUCAGCCAGGGACUCAAUAAACCCCAUGUAGAUUUCUGGGAGCUCUUCUUCAGUACUAUGUCUUGCAAAUUUUAGCCACUUUGGCCUCCUUGUCUUCUCAACUCUGAUUUCUGCCUACUCAGCUGGGCAAGACUACAGAACUCCGUUUGAGUUUCCUCCCUGUGCCUGUGGUCCGGAAAUUGCCUCCAAGCAGAAGGCUAGGGCAAUCUGGGGUUCACCUCAUUUGUUUCCUCUCUCUCGGGGAUCACAGUCCUGUACUACCUGUUAUAGUCGAAUAUCAAAAACGGCUGUUUCAUAUGUUUAUCUAGUUUCUAGUUGUUUCUAGCAGGUAAGAAGUCUGGACCUUCUUGGUUCCUUACUGCCUUGUAUGCCCAUUAGUUUUUAUAAAGACUGGUUAGCUAGUAAGACUAUUAAAUAGAAUCUUUCCCUCUCUGCUAGCUCUCAUUUCUGAGUAAAAUUUUUGGGAGACUUGUUUGGCAUAGGAAUCUUGGGGUGAGAGUAUGCUUCGCAGGCUUUACUUUGGGUGACUGGGAAAAACAGCUGUCAGGAUGUGGAAAAACUCUCAAAUGUCAUAACAAGAAAGGGUUUACACCAAGAUCUUAGGUAUGGGGAUUGCAAUGGGAAUGCUAACUGGUGCAAUUAUCCUAUAUACAGACAUUCAUUUUACUCCCUUGAAUGUAGGAAGUGGCUGCCCUUCUUCCUCCCUUUUUCCAUUGCACCUAUUUACUUGUAGUCCAGCUUCUGCUUCCUCCGCAGUGCUCUCGUAGCUUGUUUAAGGGCCAUGGCCUCUCUUCUAGUAAAAAUAUUUGAGCAUGUCACUGAUAUUCACUGAAUUAUAAAAAUUAUGUACAUAUACAGAUAUAUUAUUAUAUAUUUAAUAAAAAUAAUGAUUUUGAGAUGAAAGAGGUACAAAAUACCUACAAAUAGAAGGUAUUUUCUUAAUACAUCUCCUUAUUAUAUGUUCUUCACUUUGGAGACCACUGUCUCUUUGGUGACUUCUUCCGUCACCUUGUUUGUGUUUAUUUUCAGUCACCCAGCAAAUUUACUAAAUGUUCAUCUUUUUGUGUAUGUGGGACACCCUUUUGUAAUUAUGGGUUUAUUUUUUCUACUGAGAGAGAAUGGAGGCAAAUAUAUGUAAUGGGUCCACCAGUUUGAACUGGAAGUCUGUCUGAUACAUUUCUUAAAAUAAAUCUUUGAAUAAUUAAAAUGUCUUUUUUUUUUUUUUU